UCUUCUUUAAUCUGUUGAGCAAUGGGAAGAACUGGUGGAAAUGGCUAUCGACUGCAAGCGUCGGCUUUGUUGCUACGGGAUUCGUUUCGGCCCUGCAGCUCAUCUAUAAAACCAGGGUGCGUGAGCUGGGAGGAGCAGAGGAGGCUGUUCCCACCACAGCAGCCUCUACGCCCGGUGCGUCUCAGUCCUGAAACGCCUCCAGAAGCCAGAUUUGAUUGGCAGGUGUGACACUGGGGCAACCUGGGCUUCAGCAAUGCUCCUGAGAUGUCACUGACUCAGCAAGUCUUUGUUGUGUGCAGGCUGUGGAUUCACGGCUGAGAAGAGGAUGCUGGGAGAGGCACGCGGCUCCUGCCCUCUUGGGGAGAUGCUGCUUAGUGAGGACAUAGAGAAACACAAGCCAGCAAGCUGCAGCGAUGCCAGGGAGCAGCCACCAGAUAAAGGCACCGGCUGGUUCACUACGUGUGAUGAAUUCAAAAAACAGCCAAGUUUUUAAAAUAGUGAAUACAAGGGACUAUUGUAGGUGUGGACGUUAGGGAAGUCCUCUUCAAAGAGGCCGUAUUAGCUGAGGGCCAAGCUACAGGCAGUGGAUGUGGGUCAAGCAAAGGGAGACAGAAUCCAUGCUGGCACAGGGAAAGAGUCAUAAAGCUCCAGCGGAAAAAGAAAAACAAAGCAGUCUGGAGACGUUGGAAGGCCGGAAAGAGCUUCUAGCCGGGGAGAAACAGCAGUGCAGCGAGUGUCUUGAAGGACCCUCGUGGAGACACAAACCCGGCAGACGGAGGGGGAGCAUGCAGCAGCCGUGAGCUUGAAGGAGCCACAGCCCGUCCCUGCUCACGGAGACAGAAAUGUUGCUUAGGGGCUAAAAUCCUAGACCACGGAGGCCAGCAGCCAGGGUCCCACGUGCGAGAGGGUCCCGGAACUGUUGGUGGCAUCGAAGCCACGGUGGACAUUCAGAUUCCAGGGGACGUCACAGCCUCACCAGGUGCUGUUUUCUCCCAUCAGGACCAAAUUGACGGCUGUUCUUGAAGGGAAGAGCGUGCGCGGGAAGUUCAGGAGCAGGUUCUUCCCAGGCUGCUCCUUGGAAAAGCUACGUUGCUUUGCCUUUUUCCUUCACACGUGUAACCGCCACGUGCCUGUAGUAACUCACAAUGGCCCCAGGGGCUGCGGCAUGUAACAUUAUCAAUGGAUGCUCUGCAUCUGUGCAGUUCUUCCCGAAGGUUCUGCCCUGAAAGGACAUUUCCACAGUCCGUCCUUGCAGGUGGCAUGUGCACCUGCUUCCUGGAGAUGAGGCUUCUGGGAACUGUUCUCAUUCAGCUCUGGCACUGUCGCCUUCACAUUUAUCAGCCAUCCAAAGAGCAUUUCAAAAAAUUUCCUGGAAAACGGGAUUAAAGGAGAAUUUUAUUUUGGUGCAAGUAAUUCCGAAAUCAGUGCAGAGUGUUAUUCACAGUAUACAUUUUCCAUGAGCUUUUUGAAGACCUCUUGUACUACGUGUUAAGCAUAAGAAACACACACCUGCCUCAUCUUAUUUGAUCCCUAUUGAAUCCAAGGGAACUGAACUCAUGGAGCCGAUUUCUAGGACAGGAGAGGGAAAAUCCCAGUCUUGGACCCUGAAACCCGUUCUCCUCUAACAUCAGGUGGUCCUGUUCUCUUUCUCCCGCUGGGGUGAGGCUGCCCUGUUCCUUAGACCCCAGGUCCUCCAUGUUACAGUCACUGAGGCAGGGCGAGGUUGUGGUCAGCUAUGAAACUCAGAGCAAAGAGCUGAAAACUCAAGGACACCCAAUUCCUCUUGCCAAAAUAGGUAACUUCCGAAGACGCUCACCAAAUUUACCUGUGUUAAAAACAUACAGCUCUUCUUUUUCUCUCAAUGAAUUUUAUUUAACUUAAAAAAUAUUUGAAGGGCUUGUGCUGUGGUAUAGUGAGUGGAGCUGCAGCCUGCGGUGGCGGCGGCUGGCAUCCUAUAUGGGCGCUGGUUCAAGUCCCAGCUGCUCCACUUCUGAUCCAGCUCUCUGCUGGUGCACCUUGGAAUGCAGUGGAAGGUGGCCCAAGUGCUUGGACCCCUGCACCCACGUGGGAGACCUGGAAGAAGCUCCUGGCUCCUGGCUCCUGGCUUCGGAUUGGUCCAGCUCUGGCUGCUGCAGUUCAUUUGGGGAGUGAACCAGUGGAUGGAAGAUCUCUCUCUCUCUCUCUCUUUCUCUCUCUCACCCUCUCUCUAUAACUCUGCCUUUCAAAUAAAAUAAAUAAAUCUUUUAAAUAAAUAUUUGAA
ensembl:lncRNA